rnacentral:lncRNA from 1 species
UGUUAGGAUUAAUUAUUUAGUUUAAUUAAUUAGAAUCUCUGUUUGUGGAAACGACAGCCGGUUUCUUCCUGAACGAUCGCAUCCUAAUAUGACGGACGCGUCGUUUAGAUCGUGCCUCUUGUAAACGUCGCUCCUGUUCGAUGCAUCUCUUCCAGAGAUAUAAAUAUGUACAUCCUCGACAUCAAUCAAUAGCGAAAGUUACUGUUUAUUCACACUGUUUCUUCACACGUUAUCAUGCACUUCUCUCCAGCGAGAGCGACAGGCCAGAACUCGCCGGAGAAGGACUUGGAACGGUGAGGAUGUCGUCCCUCGCCUCCCUUCUCCUUGGUCUUCUCUGGGAAGAAGGUCGCCGACAUUUCCUUGUCGAGCAGCGCCGCCGGUUUGUCCGCCAUCGAUGGGGGGCACCACCAGCAGUUUCUGGCCUUGGCAUUAACCGCCGCCAGAACUUCGCUGGAGGACGCCGCCAUCACGCGGCCGCUGGACGACGCCGUCGCGCCACGCCGGUUGACAACCGUCAGGGUCUGGACCCAGGGCUAGUUGCCGGACUGAAUGCUCCACUGCCGCAGAACGCUGGGAUGGGCAUGCAAGAGCCUCCAGUUCCCACUCCAUCUGCACCACGGUGGUGUCGUGUGCACGGAUAUGGCCCGUGCCCCGCUCGCUCCAGUAGCACAAGUCUGCCGUCACCAACGCCGGCAGAGGAGGAGGAGCGGGAGAUCGUCCACGACGUACCUACACGCGGCUACAGCCCGACUCCAACGCGCGUCGCUAGUGCCAGGGGCGACGGCCUCGUCUUCAUCCCGACUCCAGGACGCGCCGUGGCCACCGCGGGCGUGGUCGCCGCUACCGGAGCAAGUGACACUCCGGGGUCGAGCAGCGCACCAUGGGCGUUUGGCCGCUCCCCUGCUCCCCCCGGCGAACAGGGCAUCUUCCUCUUCGGAGCAGGAGGGACGCCCGCCACGGACGUCGCUGGCACGAGCGGCGGCGCGGGUCCGCCCGACACCGGCGCGAGCCGCCGUCUUCUCUUCGGGCGCUCCGUCGCCGCUGUCGACCGUCGCCCUGGACGCCGUCAGGGCGCCUGGAACCCGGUGUCGCUCGGCCUCGCCAACGGACACCAGAAUGGGGUGGACAUCCCUGACUAGGAGGAAGGCUUCAUCCCUUCACCAUCGGCGGCUCGCCGGUGAGCGCGCGUCCGGCGCGGCGGCCGGAACAGAGGAGGGUCGCGCCACCUGGAAAGAGGAUUGGGGGCGGUAGGGGAAACCCUAACCGUCACCCUCUUUUAUGCGAUGGUUAAAGCGGCGCCGGGCCUGUUGGGCCGAAAGGUCGGAUGGGCUGUGACCUAACCGUCACCCUCUUUUACUGUAGCAGUACUGUAGGAGUGGGCUGUGCUACUGGUUUGUGUCUCCCUAUAUGCGACCCAGGACCAUUUUUUUUCGUUUUCCUUUUUAUAUUUAGUUCUUUAACUAGCAGUUUGAAGUUGUGACUAGUUAUUUAGUAAUUUGUGUAAAUUACUAUAUUUUAUUGUUCAGUAAUUAGUGUGUAUUACUGUAUUGUACAAGUACAAUGUAUGUCAACGUAUAUGUUCCGGCAAUUUGGCAAUUGCUAUAUGUUGAUCAAUGUACAUGCAUUGUUUUAUUUACAACACAAUUAAUUUGCUAUGAGAGUAAAUUAAUAAGCAUGAUGAUUGCAUGCAGGAUAUGGCUGACAUAUCUAAAAAAGAGUUUGCUGAACUUGCCGUCGAUGGUUCUAACUAUUUGACAUGGGCAAUGGAUGUCAAAAUCAAUUUGACGGCCAAAGGACUCAAUUCCGCUAUAACCACACCUGCCCAAAGGACUUCAUCUGUAACAGACAUAAUAAGGUAUUCAGCGUUGCACUUCAUUCGACAUCAUCUUCACCCUGACCUAAAGACAGAGUAUCUAAUGGAGGAGAGCCCUCUGACACUCUGGAACUCCUUAAAGGAGAGGUAUGAUCAACAAAGGGCGGUGAUGUUGCCUGAAGCACAACAGGAAUGGGCGCUAGUCCGAUUCCAAGACUUUAAGUCUGUAGCUGCAUACAAUUCUGCUGUUCAUAAGAUCAACUCCAAGCUAAGAUUCUGCAAUAGUGCAGUUUUUGAUACUGAUCUUAUUGAAAAGACACUUUCUACUUUCCAUCCUUCUAUGAGGAUACUUGCUAAACAGUAUCGUCAGCAAAAGUAUAAGAAGUAUUCUGAGUUGAUUUACUCGCUGCUUCAGGCAGAGAAGCAUAAUGAGCUUCUUGAGAAGAACAAUUUGGCUCGUCCAACAGGAACGAUGCCUCUGCCUGAAUCACACUUCAACUCUAAGAAUACUCAAAAGUUCAAUGGUUCCAAAAAGAACCGUAGGACAUUCAAUGGAAAGUGGAAGCGUAAUGAGAAGCAGAAUAAGUAUGGCGUCCAAAAGGAAAAAGGUUCUUUCAAGAAGAAUGAAAGGGCUAGCAACACUGGUUGCUUCAGGUGUGGUUGUAAGGAACAUAUUGCAAAGAAGUGUGACACUUCAAAGCAUUUGGUGGAAUUGUACCAACAGUCACUUGGAAAGGGCAAGAAGGCUCGGGGGAACCAGUAUGAAGCACACUUCACUGGAAAUGAAGAUGGUACCCCUACGGUUGAUGGUUCUCGAGAUGAUUCUCUGAACAUGGACAACCAGGAGCAGAAUCAGCAAGUCGAAGAUCCAAUACUAGAUGUCGAUGACAUGCUAGUGGAAUUUGGUUUUACUGACAUAUAUGGAGACCAGAUUUAGUCUCAUUUGUCUAAGUAUUGUAAUGAUGUUAUUAGACAUAUUACAUGUGUUGUAAAAUAAGUUAUGUCCUUAGACAUAAUGUGUUUGCUAUGUCGUGUGACAUAGGGCUUGUAAUAAGUACAAGACAUAUAUAGUUUGUAAUGUAUGUAUUGAUUCUAUAAGAGUUUGAUUAUAUACUGAACUUUGUUCUUUUACUCUAUAGAACUUCAAGGAAUAAUACAAUGGAGGAGGAAAUGUGUUUAGUGGAUAGUGCAUCUACUAACACGAUACUUAGGGAGAUGAAAUAUUUCCAGACACUCAAGAAGAGUAAUGGAAGUGUCAUGACAAUUGCUGGUCGAGACACGGUAAUUGUUGGUUCUGGUCAAGCUACAAUUACACUCCCUAUGGGUACUAAAUUGGUAAUCCAGGAUGCUCUACUGUAUCCAGAUUCUACUCGUACCUUGCUGAGUUUUAAGGAUAUCCGCAAAAAUGGUUUCCAUGUGGAAACUAAUGAAGAGAGUGGGGCUGAAUGCCUACUCAUAACUCAGCAAAAGGGAUUUCGAAAGGAAGUCCUUGAGAAUUUGCCUUCUCUAUCUUCUGGGUUGUAUUAUACAUACAUUAAACCAGAGACGCCUAUGGCGUACAAGAUAGUUUUUCAGAAUCUUGAUAAGUUCAAGAUUUGGCAUGGUCGCCUGGGUCAUCCUGGUAUUGGGAUGAUGAGGAAAAUUAUUGAUGGUUCUGUUGGACACAACAUAACGGAUAGAAAGUUCCCAAAAUCAUCGGAUUUUGUAUGCACAGCAUGUGCAACUGGGAAAUUGAUCACAAGUCCAUCUUAUGUGAAAUUAAAGGAUGAGGCACUUGAUUUCCUUGAACGCAUUCAAGGAGAUAUUUGUGGUCCAAUACAACCGUUAUCUGGACCAUUCAUAUAUUUCAUGGUCCUAAUUGAUGCAUCAACGAGAUGGUCAAAUGUGUGUCUACUAUCAACAAGGAACCAUGCCUUUGCAAAGCUAAUUGCUCAGAUCAUUAAAUUGAGAGCAAAUCAUUCUGAGCAUAGGAUAAAAACCAUCAGAAUGGAUAAUGCCGCGGAAUUCAGUUCUUGAGCAUUUAAUGAUUACUGCCUAGCUUUGGGCAUUUCUGUGGAGCACUCAGUACCUUAUGUACAUACCCAGAAUGGUCUUGCAGAAUCACUUAUCAAGAGAAUCAAGUGGAUAGCAAGACCGCUCCUGCAGAAUAGUAAUCUUCCAGCUUCAUAUUGGGGUCAUGCUGUUUUACAUGCUGCAGAAUUGAUACAAAUUCGACCAACUGCAUAUCAUACGGUCUCCCCGUCGCAGUUAGUAUGUGGAAACCAGCCAAGUAUUUCCCAUCUGCGGCAAUUCGGUUGCGCGGUAUAUGUACCGAUCUCACCACCGCAGUGUACAUCAAUGGGCCCUCAUAGACGAAUGGGGAUCUAUGUGGGGUACAAUUCUCCGUCAAUCAUUAAGUACCUGGAACCCCUGACAGGGGAUUUGUUUACAGCCCGGUACGCUAAUUGCAUUUUUGAUGAGGACAAUUUCCCGGCAUUAGGGGGAGAGAAUAACCACAAAGAAUGUCGAUAAAUAGAUUGGGAUGUGAAAGGCAUCCAGUCCUUAGAUCCACGUACGAAUGAGUCUGAACUGGAGGUUCAGAAGAUUAUAAUUUGCAAAAUAUUGCAAAUAAUCUGCCAGAUGCAUUUGCUGAUUAUAAAGGUGUCACAAAAUCAAAUGUUCCCGCUAUGAAUGUGCCAGAGAGAGUGGAUGUGACCCAUAGAUCUACUCAGCUACCCAAGAGGGGGAGAAAUCUGGAUACAAAGGACAAGGCUUUGCAGAAGCGGCCAAGGGGAAUGAGGAAUCCUCAAAUAGUAAAUGCAAGUCAGCAAGAUGUUGAUAUUCAACCUAGGGUUGAAGGACACCUGAAGGAUGUUGGACAUCCAGAACCCAACACGAGUGUGCACACAAAUUUUGGUGUUGGGACAUCGGAAGACCUUGAUCCAAUUGUUGAGGGAAAUCACGAAGGAUCAAAAGGUAUUGAUGAGAUAUCCAUUAAUUAUAUUGAUUCAGGAGAAUCAUACAAUAGAAAGACUACAGUUGUCGACAUUUAUUUCGCCUCUAGAAUUGCAGAAGGCCUUGAUUUAGAUCGAGAACCUAAGUCCAUGGCAGAGUGCAUGAAGCGCUCAGACUGGUCCAAAUGGAAGGCAGCAAUUGAGGACGAAUUGCACUCGCUCAUAAAAAGAGGGGUAUUCACUUCAGUAAUACCCACUCCUCAGCAUGUGUUCCCUGUGGAAGCAAAAUGGGUUUUCGUUCGUAAGAGGAACGAGAACAAUGAGGUGGUGAGAUAUAAGGCGAGGCUUGUAGCACAGGGGUUCACGCAGAGACCCGGCAUCGAUUAUGAUGAAACAUAUUCUCCUGUUAUGAGUGGAACAACAUUCCGAUAUUUAAUAUCACUGGCAGUGAAAAUGAAUUUGUCUAUCCAACUUAUGGAUGUUGUGACUGCAUAUUUAUAUGGGUCACUGGAUUCGGAUAUUUACAUGAAAGUUCCUGAGGGAAUGAAGCUUCCUAAUCCAAAGGCUAACCGCAACAUGUAUUGCGUAAAGCUUCAGAAGUCAUUGUAUGGCUUGAAGCAGUCGGGAAGAAUGUGGUAUAACCGACUGAGUAUAUUCCUUCUUCAAAAGGGAUACUCAAAUAAUAAUGAUUGCCCAUGUGUGUUUAUUAAGAAAUCUAAGAAUGAAUUUUGCAUUAUUUCUGUGUAUGUGGAUGACCUGAAUAUCAUUGGGACUACACAAGAAAUACAUGAGGCAAGUAAUCAUCUUAAGACGGAGUUUGAGAUGAAAGAUCUAGGUAAGACUAAAUUUUGUUUGGGCUUACAACUUGAACAUCUUCCUUCAGGAAUACUUGUUCAUCAGUCUGCUUAUAUCCAAAAGAUUCUUGAGAAAUUUAAUAUGGAUAAAGCAUAUCCAUCGAAAACACCAAUGGUGGUUAGAUCUCUUGAUAGAGAUAAAGACCCAUUUAGACCUCAGGGUGAUGAUGAAGAGAUGUUAGGACCCGAGUUUCCUUACCUCAGUGCUAUUGGAGCACUAAUGUAUCUAGCGAACUGCACCAGGCCUGAUAUAUCAUUUGCAGUAAAUUUAUUGGCUAGAUUUAGUGCAUCACCAACAAAGAGACAUUGGGUUGGUGUGAAGAACAUUUUCAGAUAUCUUCAAGGCACCAAAGAUCUUGGUUUGUUCUAUCAGAAAAAUCAUGAUAAGACCAUGGUGGGAUAUUGUGAUGCUGGAUACCUAUCGGAUCCCCAUAAUGUCAGAUCACAGACUGGUUUUGUCUUCUUGAGUGGAGGUAUGGCCUUUUCUUGGAAGUCGACAAAACAAACUCUGGUGGCUACAUCCACGAAUCAUUCUGAAAUUAUUGCUUUGUUUGAAGCAUCAUGUGAAUGUGCAUGGCUUCGCAGAAUGAUUAACUUUAUUGAAAGUUCAAGUGGGAUUGGAUCAUUGGAAUCACCUACUAUUAUCUAUGAAGAUAAUGCUGCAUGUAUUACACAGAUGCAAACAGGUUAUAUAAAGAGUAAUAUUACAAAGCAUAUUUCUCCUAAGUUAUUUUAUCCCCAUGAGUUACAGCAGACCGGGGAGAUAAAUAUUUUGCAAACGAAGUCAUGUGAUAAUCUUGCUGAUUUGUUUACAAAAUCAUUACGAAGUUCUUUAUUUGAGAAGUACAUCAAUGGAAUUGGUAUGAAACGACUUCGGGAUUUGCAAAGUUCAGGGGGAGUGUCUCCCUGAAUAAUAAUCUGUUUGUGAUCCUCGGAUCUUUAAUAUUGCACUCUUUUCCUGUAUAAGUUUACCUGAAUGGUUUCUUAUGGGAGGUUUUUAAUGAGGCAAUAGUAAUGCAUGCAUUGUGAUAUGUUAGUUUCUCCUUAUUUUCCCACUGGGUUUUUGGAAGGAGUUUUUGAUGGCAUAUUGUACAUAUCUCCUCAUAUUUUUCCUACAGGGUUUUUGGAGGAGACUAAUCAUGAUGAUGAUGAUCAAGAUGUUGAUGAUGAUGUUUACAAGAAUGAUUGAAGCAGAGAUUAGGGGGAGUGUUAGGAUUAAUUAUUUAGUUUAAUUAAUUAGAAUCUCUGUUUGUGGAAACGACAGCCAGUUUCUUCCUGAACGAUCGCAUCCUAAUAUGACGGACGCGUCGUUUAGAUCGUGCCUCUUGUAAACAUCGCUCCUGUGCGAUGCAUCUCUUCCAGAGAUAUAAAUAUGUACAUCCUCGACAUCAAUCAAUAGCGAAAGUUAAUGUUCAUUCACACUGUUUCUUCACAC